AGGCUGACAAGCAACUUCUGGUUGCUCUCCUCCGUUCUGCUGGCCUUUUUUAUGAUGCUGCAAAUGAUCACACUAUCUAGCUGGACAGAAGACAAGUCUUUCUACUACAGUUUUCAUCAGGAGCAAGGUUAAACUCUCCCUCUCCACCCCAGUUAUCAGUGUGUCAGCAAUGUAAUGUCUGAAUCUGUUACAUGUUGGAAACUUGGGAGUCAUGGACGCUACUGCAUCUGAGUUCAGCGAGUUUGCGCACAACACUAAGUCAAACCAUGGCUAAGUGUGAUCAAGAACGUAUGUGAUUGAAUGAAAACCAUGGCCACUUGCUUUAUCCCCCGGUCCUGCUGCUGCUGCACUACACAUAGCUAAGCCGUGGUUUGGCUUAGCAUUAUGUCCAGUUUGCCUUGCUCCAGACAAGCUACACGUUAUAGCCAAGGGAAGCGAACCUUGAAGGUGAAAGAAACAACAUAAUUGUUGGAGGCAUCAAAGAUUGUUCAUAGAAAUAACACAGAAAGCAAUACUGUGGAUCAAAAUGCACUGAUAGAAGGAGUGAACUAAGGAUGGGAUUCUUCUCUCUCUCUGAAAGUCUGAGCAUAAAGCACACAGGCCUCUCAAAGCAGAAGGAGAAUGGAGCUCAGAGUUGGAUUCCUUUGGCUCUCUGUGACCUUUCACUAUCUUACUUUAGGAACGGUGAUGCCAAGCAGCUGACAGAACUAGCGUCCUGCUGUGCACGCCAUUCAGUAGAUCCACAGGCCAGACUUUUUUGUUUUAUCACUUUUUGAAUGGCACUUCUGAUGCUUGAGGAGGGGGAAUCCCCCCCCAAUGUUUCCUAAGAAAGGAUAGUGGGGAAGAGCAUUAUUGAGUGCAACAAGAGAAAAGAUUUGAUUCUAGAAAAUAUACUGGCUGUAUUCAACUGUCCUACUCAGAGUAGGCCCACUGCAAUUAAUGAUCUUAAAUUAGUCAUGUCUAUUAAUGUCGAUGGGUCUACUGGUACUCUGAGCAGGGCUAACAUGGAAGAUCACCCAGUGGAUUGAGAUGAAGGGCCAUAGUUUUAAUUGUGACCAUUUAAAAUUUACUUUAUUUUUAAUGCCGAAGGUGCAAGGUGAAAUACAAAUCUCAUA